CUUGGUCAUUUAGAGGAAGUAAAAGUCGUAACAAGGUUUCCGUAGGUGAACCUGCGGAAGGAUCAUUAUUAAAAGAAUUAGAGUGCACUUUAUUGUUGUGCAAGUCUCUUAUAAACCAAACCCAAACACGUCUAAAAAGGUUGCAUGACUGUCAAAGGUCAUUGCUAUUGAGUAUACGUAACAGUCUUAAUUGAAUUGUUGCAUUACCCCCCCUCCCUUUUUUUUUUUUUUUAAUUCAACAAACACAAGUUUAAAUCAAUGUAACCAAACCUUUGAUUUAUAAAUAACUUUUAACAAUGGAUCUCUAGGCUCUCACAUCGAUGAAGAACACAGUGGCAUGUCAUAAGUAAUGUGAAUUGCAGAAUUCAGCGAAUCAUCGAAUCUUUGAACGCAUCUUGCACAUUUUGGUACUCCAAAAGGUACACCAGUUUGAGUGUCAUGAAACCCUCUCAUUAAACAUUUUUUUAAUAAUUUGUUUAGUGGAUGUUGAGUGUUGCGGUAAUUAUAGCUCACCCUAAUUAUAUAAGUCCAUUUUCAAAUAAGUUGGAUUGUCUUGAUGAAAUAAUUUUAGCAUCACAUCAAGGAAAGUAAUCAGAUACUGGCCAUCUUGUUUGUAACAAGAGACCCCUAACAUCCCCAAUAACUCGAAUUUAAGACCUCAAAUCAGGUCCCACUACCCGCUGAACCUAAGCAUAUCAAUAAGCGGAGGA
rnacentral:rRNA from 1 species